CUUUGGGGUCUUGCGCUGGCAAAUGGCUGUCCUCUGUCUUUGCCUGUAAAACUGAAGAAGGUAGCCAAAAAAGUUAUAUAUUUCCGAUUAUCUGCAUAAACGACGAAGUAGCCCAGUAUCAGGCGCAGCAGCACCAGUUAAAGCUCCACAGAUCGCUCAUUAGCCUCCCUCUCUCCAACGUUCUGCCCGUUCUUUUAAGAAUGACUGAACAAUCUGCGAAAGGCCAACGCGUUCCUCCUGGGCGCGCUGUUAUGUGGACUGAUAUUGACGGCCGGGGAGUCAUUAGAAGAUCACACUUAAGCUGACGAGGGGAGAAUCCAGGGGACGUGUCCACCCUGAUUGCUUAAUUUGAUCUUCCCCUGCUGCGCUAGCACUUCUGCAGCACUCGGGCCAGAAGCAAUCAGAACGCGGGAGAGACGCGGGGACUUAAAGGAACAGAGGACCACGCGAGGCGAUGCCGAUGACGGAGGGUGAGGCGACGGGAGGCGAACGACGAUCCGUCUGAAGGACGGGACCCCAAGGCCCCCACGGGGGGAGACCAGACUGGCGUGAGCUCCUGCCGGGCGUCAGCAACCGGCCACAAGGGCAUUUAAAAAAGUGCUAAUAAGCAUCUACUGUGCUGUCCUGCUACAGUAUACGGCUCUGCCUGAAGUGCCCCCCCUCCCAACACUCCCUCCGUUGUUUACCUCUUUUCCCUUCAAGUGUGUUUUCAAGCUAUUAGUGAAGUCCCAAGGUCUAUUUGGAAGCAGAAACACAACUGUCCUGGGCCUGACCGGAGGAGAGUUUGGCUUCGGCUGCUGCCCUCAGCACGUUGGCAGAUCCUCAGACGCCGUCGUCUCUCCCUCCAUCGUCUUCUCACAUGCGAGGCCGAGCCAAGACGUGCUUCUGUCAACCUCCACAGCUCCGUGCCAUCAGCUGUGGGCCUCCCACUCUGACUACAGCCGACAGGGCCUUCCUCCAUCCGUUUAGGCUCGUUGGACAUAGUCGUUGUGAGGUUUUGGGGCUCAGAUGGAAGACACAUAGCACAGAGGUGCUGAAGAAGACGCGUUGUAAUCACAAAGAUGGAGGGAUGAUGUCAAUCACAGCAUCUACAGCGCAUGGAGGCCUCAAUGCAGCCAGAAUUGAACGAUCCUCGGUGUCAGAACAGGAGCCACCCUGCUUCUGCUUAGUCUGGUACAAAAAUCAAUCUCGGUGCGCUAUAAAUGCACUCACGCUUCGCACGUCGUACAUCAUCCAACUUUAUCCUCCUACCCAUCGUCUUUGACCCCGUCUCAUCUCCAUCAUUGCCAAAAGUUGGAUUACAAAGUGGCACGCAGUCGGGAAACCAUUUCCUUUGCAGUCCGAUGGUCCCGACGUUGAUCUUGAGGACAGUCACUGGUGGAGUUCGUAUAUUUAUCGAAGCGCCAUCUCUCAUCUGAAUCCACGCCGUUUUCUUCACAAAAUGUCAGCCUGCGUCGUUGUGUAUGGAUCUACUGCUAAAUGGGAGAUUAAAAAAGUAAAAUGGCUCCUCAGUCACUUGAAUGUGACGUUACGCUCCCCGUCUGAGACCACGCUUCGAAACGAGCAGCACGUGACGUCACGGACGAUCCGACCGCCCCUCUGAUUCACUAAGCUGCUUCCACAGGGAGAAGUGAAGGAGUCUGAGUCUCCGUUCUUCACGUUGAAAUCGAAACAUUAUCACUUUCAGUCUGCAGCUCUCUCUGGCUCUACUGGGCUCAGUGAUGGGAAGCGGGUGAAGAAAAGUAUACGUCGGCUCUGAACUCGCCAACGAGGAAGGUUCUGUCAGGUGUCACACUUCACUUCAGUUCAACACCAUCCGUGUCUGAUGGACGCAAAGCUUAAAUUAAACCCGUAUCCGACAAUGAUGAUGCGGAUGUGGUACAUUUUAUGUGUUAUUUAUGAGUGAAGGUGCUGUGUGGUGCAGCAGGUGCAGCAGACUUUGGGGUCGGGCGGCCCGGCAGGUCCCCGUGGGACCCCGGCGGCAGAAGUGGCAGCAGAGUGAAUGUUGCCUCCAUUAGAGACAGGAGCUGGAGGAUUAGUGCCAGGGGCCGGGCUAAUGACUGUCACGGCCACAGAAAGCCGAUUUGCUGAAACCGCGGCAGAGAGGCAUGAAGCCGAAAUCUCCAGCUAAGACCCAGUGUGAGGGGCCGGAAUAAAGACCGCCUGCGAAAAUCACAAAGAAUACGCAAUACAUACGUUUCCCGUGUUCCUUUCUAGUAACAUUCUAGAAGAGGAAAAAACUACAAGUACUGAUGCAUUGGGGAUAAUUGUGGAAGAAUAUCCAGGGUAAUGUGUUUUCUUACAUCCACUGACCUGUCAAAAAAUUUUUAAGCCAGAUCUGCUUUUGAGAAAUAUGUAAUUCACUUUAGUGCUUAAACUGUGGGGAUACAGAGCUCCUUCAUCGCUAGCUCCUUAGACAGAAACCGCUGGUGAAUGGGAGGAGGGGGGUGUAAACAGCUUUUGUUGUUCCACACGACGGCGUGUCAUAAACGCGUGACAUUUUUGACGAUCUGAUCUGAGGAAUUUCUUUUUUUAUUUUAUUUUUUUGGUGCCUCUUUCUCCUCAAACCGCUUCCCAUCCCCCUGUUCCGUCUGAAUGUGCAGCCUACAAACACGCAUGCCUGGCCAUUGAUUUGACCCGUCCAGAGUAUACAGGGCCAAAGGAGAGCGCUCAUGGAAAAGUUUGUGCAAUUGAUCUCUGGGGUCUUUAAAUGCAGGACCCGCUCUCUCUGUCUCUCUCUCUAUUUCCCUUUCUCUCUCUCUCUGUCUCAACCUCUGUUGAGGUUGUUUCAACAGAGAUCCGUUCCACUGGCUGAAUAUGCAUUUUCUGGGUUAGCGUGGAGGCGGAGGAGGAAAAGGUAAAGGGAGAAUGUUGCUGUUUAGAGUCUAGAGGAUGUGGAGUCGCUGCAAAAUACUGUAAAGGAAGGAAAGGUUCAUUUAUCGCUAGAGGAAGUAUGAACAACACAGAUUGACUCACUCUCUUGUCAAUAAUAAUUAUUUAUUUGAACAAUCAAUUAUUUGCCUUUUGGGACGAGCUCGUAGAAUAUUGUCAUGCAUUUUCUCUUUAAGUUUGUGAAGAUAUAAGGUCAUAUAUUUAAACUAAAUUUGAAAACCUACACUUACAGCUCGGACACAUUUAUGUAAAAAGAAAUGAAUUAGUUAUCUAAAAUUCAUAUUACCUCUAUUUUAAUUGAGCUACAUCCACUUAGUGGAAGUGAUGAGCCACCAUGCUUCAUUGGGUGCUAUAGCAUUGCGUGUCAGUGUGUGCACGUCAACCCAGUGGCUGUGAGUGAAUUGCUGACGCUUUAACAAUUUUUGAAUAUUGCACAUCACAAGCUGGAAUGUCUUUGUGGCCAUCUGACGUCUGACUGCAUUUUCUCUAAAAUCCUUGUAUAUUUGUGAUGGAAGAAAGUCUGGCAAAGGAUUAGGGGGAAACAGCAAACUGCCAAAAUCUGCACAGCCUGUCAGAGUUUGGAAAGGAAAGAGACAGGAGAGGAAAAAAAUGUCAAGAAGGAGACUGCAAAUGAGGCUUGUUUCAAUAAGGGGAUCGAUGGGGAUGCAGGAAAAGAUGUUGUGCGCAUCGAUGAUAAGUGUCCGCAAGCAAACACUGGAGGGGAGUUUAUAGAAGGGGCCUGUGUGUGUGUGUGUGUGUGUGUGUGUGUGUGUGUGUGUGUGUGUGUGUGUGUGUGUGUGUGUGUGUGUGUGUGUGUGUGUGUGUGUGUGUGUGUGUGUGUGCGUGUGUGUGUGUGUGUGUGUGUGCGCGCGCGCGUCCAUGUGUCCAUGUGACCCACAGGAGGCUGCGAGACACAAUAGGUUUAUGACUAGCUGCAUGAAAACCAUUCAUUCAAGGCCUUUGUAGCGGUUGUUGUUUUGAUGUGAACAAUGAUGUGAACAGGAAGAGAAGGCGAGGCCAUUGCUCCGCUCUAGAACAAACCCUGUGUGAGCCAGUGGAGGGGUGAAGGAGGCUCAGCCUCAUAAAUCGCAAAUCCAUUUCGAAUAUACACCUAUUUUUUUAUAAGAAACCUCUGGUGGUGCUAAAUAGGACAUCUCUACGGGCCGGCUAAUUAUUUUUAGCCUGUUGUCCUUCCUGUCAUUAGUUCCCUGGCCCAGGCCUUUAGUAGGAAGAUGUGAUUGUGGGGGACAGUCCUUCAGCAGUUGUGCGUGUCACGGGGCCCCGCGGGGACGCGUUUUUCACCGCGAGCAGGACCCGUCAUGGCAGACGGGCCCCAGUGGCCGCAGUCGCUCUGCUUAGCUUCACUUCCCAGGCACAUUUUCUCUGGAGCCGGCUGAGCUCAUUACAUGUGGUCCAGGUACUUAUGUUACAGGUCCGCGCGUCUGCCUUUGGAAGUGAUGCCAGUUCAUACAUCAUACAUACAAUCCAGUGAUGGACAAUCUGUGAGAGGUUCAGGAUGCUAUCAGUCACUGACGGCCUCUAACAACUUAAAAUCCUGGCAAACACUUGACAUUCUUAGAUCUACUCACGCAUGUAUUCUAGUGUAUUUCCACAAGCUUUAUGGUCUGGAUUUAGCCUUUAAUGCUCAGUCUCAGUUACAAGCACCUUAUACCAGUUUUUCUCCAUUCUUUUUGCUAAUUCCACUAAAUAUUAUGAUUUCCAUGCUAAUGUGAGUGCCGUCAAACUGUGCACUUCUUUGGGCUCUGUUGAUAAUUAGCGUCUGCUGGGACUUCCUGUUCUGCAGAAAAAGAACCUUCGCAGCAAAAAAUAACAGCGAAGAACAACAGCCUCCUUUAAGGUAGCGUCGGCUGAAUGAAGAUGGAGGCGGCUCUGACGAGUCUCCAGCCCAGAGGUCUUACCCCCUCCGUCUACUGUCUGCUGUGGGACCCCUGAGGAUGUUGUUCACCAGGAGGAACAUCCAUCUCUUUUUUUUUUUUUUUUUUUUUUUUUUCUCAUCCCAAAUUACCCGUCGUCUUUCAUUCCCACUCCCCGUGUAAAUGAAGUGGGUGCGAGAGGGCAGCAAAGCGGUGGGCUGAUGGAUCUUAUUAGAGGUGUUGCAUUGAUAAACGGCGGCGCGGCGGCACCAGGCGGGCUGAGAUGGAGCGGGGAGGCAGGGGAACAAUGCCGAUGCCUCUGUUCACGGUGGCGAGGUGCCCUUCAGACGACGCAGGCGCAAGAGAAAGGCGCCGAAAGAUGAGUUGUCACGAACGCAGCAUUGAUGUCACCUCGUGCAUCUGAGUGACUGGGGAGGCGGCUCCACGUGUGUGCGCUGAGCGAAGCUCCAUGUUAGCGGACGGAUAAACGUGUGUAGCACUCACUGCCUCGGUCUCACCCUAAUUUCAGUGUCCUCUGGCUUUUUAUUUAUUACUAAAUCCUGUCCUCCCUUAUCUUCCACUGGGCUUUUAUAUAUUUUAUAACCACACGGAUUCAGUUUUUUCCCUUUUAUAUAUUCAGUAGUUAACAUGGUGACGUGUACAAUAACACACUGUAUCAUAACUUGUGUCUUUACUUAAAUUUAUAGAGUUGAGCUGGUGCAAGGCUUUGAUAUAAUCUAAUAAUCUAGAAUCUAUUUUCAACUACUAUUAAUAUUUUUUAUCUUAAUAGUAACAGUGGACUGGAAAAACUCCCUCUAACGGAACAAACAGCAACAGGUAACGACAAAAUCUGUUUAGUAUUGAAUCAAGUGUUAAUGAAUCACCACUUGGUGAAAAUGAAUAUCACCAACCGUUAAUCAGGGCUCCGGCUGAAAGUUUCUAUUCACAUUCAUAUGAGGAGAAUGAUCAGCGACAUUUGUAGCAUCGUAAUGAAGGAGGAUGCUAAUAUUUAGCAUUAGCUUGUAAUCGUUGUUUAUUUUAAUAUUGUCUCUAAAGAUCACUUCAGUUCUAAACGUUUUAAAGCCUUUGAGGCGUUUUUACAGUUUAAACACGAAGAAUUUUUUUUUUAGGAAAACUAGGAGAAUUUUUUAAGACACACUUACAGUAGGACCCACUUGGGAGUCUGGAAUCUGACUGCACUCAUGUGUCUCCAGCCUCCACCUCUGCUAAUUAGUUGAUCCACAGGUUAUGCUUUAUUAGAUCCAAUGAACAUUGCACCAUUUCAACAGGGCUGGUGCUGCAGCUCGGAGGGGACCGGCCGUAUGUCAUGCUCUCCCCCUCCUCAUUAGGAUCCUCCCUACCUGCUUAGCUGUCGCAUGCACAGUAUACACUCAGCCUCAUGACACAGGGAUUUUGGACUUGACGUUCCACGCGCUGCAUGAACAGGUUCUCGCGGGGUCAACGCCUUUUGUGACGAGAGGCAAAGUUGAGGUAACGUGGGAUCAGAAAACGAAAAUUUGUUAAUAGCCUCCGACAUAUCAGUAGCACUGGCUUUGGUUUGGUCUUACUUCGAACUCCCUGCCUCCUAGACUUCCUCCACUCCAGUACGACUGCAAUAUUUAUGUUUUGCCCAGCCUCACGUUAUUGUACCUUGGGCCUCUGUGACUCGUCUCGCUCUGUCAUCAAUAAAACUCCCUCCUUCGCCUCUUUUGCUUCUCGCUUCAUCCAAAUACGUGCCAAGAUGGUAUGAUAAUGAAAUAGCGCUUCAUAGCUGGACGCAUGUUCAUUCAUCAAAGCGUGAGGUUUAUUAAGACGAGUGCCGGGGUCCCAGCUGUGUGUGAGUGCAGACAGGAUGCUGUAGUUAUGAAGUGGAGCUCACAACGGGACCACAGUAAAUCUUACAGUAAAUUCCAUGUGAAUGAGUGAGGUCAUUACAAAUUGAACAGUGUUUCACAGCGUCUCUGUCUCCGUCUUCCGAUUCCCUCCAUUUUACCUCCUUCCUCUGCAGGAGAUUAGAGCGGCACCAGUCGCUGGAGAGCUUUUGGACGGAUUUAACUCAACCUGGGGCUCAUGAUGGCUGAAGACGAUCACUUAAAACUCUCUAAUCCAGUGGCUAAUGGAUGCGGUGAGAAGUUAAAAUGUGGAGUAAAAACAAGUGCUGCGGCAAUAAAUUCAUUCUCAUCUUAUUAUUUUUUGGAGUUGUAGGAGUUUCUGUCUCCUGCUUUUUAAACAAGGAGUGUCAUCCUGAGUGUUUAUGUGUUAUGAGCACAUCCGCCGUUGUCUCCGUCUCAUUUUGAACACCACCAUUCUAAUUACAAGAUGAUACAGCCGGGCAACUCAAGGGCGCUUAAAUAUCUAUUUAGGCUGAUUAAUGGGCCUUGCGACAUUUGUGGAGUUGAUGCUCGCCGGUGUCUUUGUCUGCCGGGCGGGUGAGGACGCGUGGGCCGAUUGAUCACGCCCAUUGAUUUUCACCGGAGCCGCGCCUCCGUCUCCGCACGUCGCCCAUUAAGUGAGAUAUGUGAACAUAUGUGUUGGACUCAUUCGAGUGUGACUGUGAGGUUUUCUGUUCGGAGGAAGCGAACGGCGCCUCCUGAGUCACCGGAGCGUGAUGCGUGUGUGUGUGUGUGUGUGUGUGCGCGUGCGUGCGUGCGUGCGUGCGAGCGCGCCUCUGCGGUGACACCAAUGCCGCGACACCCUGCUCUGCAAAUGUCAGUCCCGUCCAAUUAAAUGCUUGAGUGAUGCCAUUGCCCACGAGGGGGAUCCCACCAAUAAAGUUCUCUGUUUAUGAGCUUUGUUUCCUGCGCUCUGUCUUUUCUGGAGACACUUAAUAGACAAGUGUGCUGUCACACGGCGCAUCCUGUGACAGACCCGUGAGCCGUUACA